GCCUUCGUGGUGCAACGGUUAGCAUGCUCGGCGCGUAUUCCAGAGGUACGAGGUUCGACUCCCGGUGAGGGCA
rnacentral:tRNA from 1 species